rnacentral:rRNA from 1 species
UACGGAGGGUGCAAGCAUUGAUCGGAAUUACUGGGCGUAAAGGGCGCGUAGGCGGCCAGAUAAGUCAGAUGUGAAAUUCCGGGGCUCAACCCCGGAGCUGCAUUUGAAACUAUUUGACUAGAGUACAGUUAGGGUAAACGGAAUUCCACGUGUAGCGGUGAAAUGCGUAGAUAUGUGGAAGAACACCGGUGGUGAAGACGGUUUACUGGGCUGAUACUGACGCUGAGGCGCGAAAGCUAGGGGAGCAAACAGG